UGGGGCAGUGGUCUAGUUGGUCAUGACGUCGAGCCUGCACCUCGAAAGGACCCAGGUUCAAAUCCUGGCUGCCCCAU
rnacentral:tRNA from 1 species